rfam:Oryza meridionalis cultivar OR44 (W2112) chromosome 3, whole genome shotgun sequence.
UUUAAGUGUGACCAUAAAUUCCCGUGUUUAAAUCUGAUCAUCCGUUUUAUUUGAAUUUUUUUAUUAUUAGUAUUUUUUAUUGUUAUUAUAUGAUAAAGUAUAAAUAUUAUUUUAUGCGUGACUUAUAUUUUUAAUUGUUUAAAAAUUUUAAAUAAGAUAAACGAUUAAAAUUAGACAUGAAAAUUUUAUAAGUGCGUUUAAA